UGCAGUCGAACGAUGAACCACUUCGGUGGGGAUUAGUGGCGAACGGGUGAGUAACACGUGGGCAAUCUGCCCUUCACUCUGGGACAAGCCCUGGAAACGGGGUCUAAUACCGGAUAACACUUCUGCUCUCCUGAGCAGAGGUUAAAAGCUCCGGCGGUGAAGGAUGAGCCCGCGGCCUAUCAGCUUGUUGGUGAGGUAAUGGCUCACCAAGGCGACGACGGGUAGCCGGCCUGAGAGGGCGACCGGCCACACUGGGACUGAGACACGGCCCAGACUCCUACGGGAGGCAGCAGUGGGGAAUAUUGCACAAUGGGCGAAAGCCUGAUGCAGCGACGCCGCGUGAGGGAUGACGGCCUUCGGGUUGUAAACCUCUUUCAGCAGGGAAGAAGCGAAAGUGACGGUACCUGCAGAAGAAGCGCCGGCUAACUACGUGCCAGCAGCCGCGGUAAUACGUAGGGCGCAAGCGUUGUCCGGAAUUAUUGGGCGUAAAGAGCUCGUAGGCGGCUUGUCACGUCGGGUGUGAAAGCCCGGGGCUUAACCCCGGGUCUGCAUUCGAUACGGGCUAGCUAGAGUGUGGUAGGGGAGAUCGGAAUUCCUGGUGUAGCGGUGAAAUGCGCAGAUAUCAGGAGGAACACCGGUGGCGAAGGCGGAUCUCUGGGCCAUUACUGACGCUGAGGAGCGAAAGCGUGGGGAGCGAACAGGAUUAGAUACCCUGGUAGUCCACGCCGUAACGGUGGGCACUAGGUGUUGGCGACAUCCACGUCG
rnacentral:rRNA from 1 species